rnacentral:rRNA from 1 species
GUUGGGAAUCUUGCGCAAUGGGCGAAAGCCUGACGCAGCGACGCCGCGUGCGGGAUGACGGUCUUCGGAUUGUAAACCGCUUUUCCCAGGGACGAUAAUGACGGUACCUGGGGAAGAAGCCCCGGCUAACUCCGUGCCAGCAGCCGCGGUAAGACGGAGGGGGCAAGCGUUGUCCGGAAUUACUGGGCGUAAAGCGCUCGUAGGCGGUCGCGUACGGCGGUGGUGAAAGCUCCCGGCUCAACUGGGAGAGGCCCGCCGCAACGGCGUGACUCGAGGGUGGUAGAGGCAGAUGGAAUUCCUGGUGUAGCGGUGAAAUGCGUAGAGAUCAGGAGGAACACCCGUGGCGAAGGCGAUCUGCUGGGCCAUGCCUGACGCUGAGGAGCGAAAGCUAGGGGAGCGAACGGGAUUAGAAACCCGGGUAGUCC